rnacentral:lncRNA from 1 species
CAUGGUACUAACAAAAAACCUUAUGUAACUCAAAAUACAACUCCACCCGAUACAUAAACAACUGCAAAAAGCAAUGUGUCUUUGGCAGAUCAAAAUGAUAACAUGGGUAGUGAUUAUUAACAUCUGCAAAAUAUUGAAGAUAAUGGUCAUAAAUAUCAUAAGGAAUUACAAAGAUCAUGUGAAAACAGUAUACGGAACUCACAAACAGUGCUUUUAUUGAAAAGUCAUCUUAAAUGACACAUGGAUUAUACUGUGUAUGUCAGUAUAUUUCAUUUAAAAAAUUUGUAAGGUGUGUGAGCUAGGUUUGCUAUAAAAUAUUUAAAUGACAAUUAUAUAGUAUUUCUAAAAAAAAAAUAUCAAUGUAAUUACUGUCAAUUCAGAAAUUAUUGCAACGUUUUUAUUAUUUUGAAAAAUACGACAUAAUUUAAAUUUGCAUUUUGUAAUUCUUUU